rnacentral:rRNA from 1 species
UGAGGAAUAUUGGUCAAUGGACGGAAGUCUGAACCAGCCAAGUAGCGUGCAGGAUUGACGGCCCUAUGGGUUGUAAACUGCUUUUGUUGGGGAGUAAAGUGAGGCACGCGUGCCUUUUUGCAUUUACCCUUCGAAUAAGGACCGGCUAAUUCCGUGCCAGCAGCCGCGGUAAUACGGAAGGUCCAGGCGUUAUCCGGAUUUAUUGGGUUUAAAGGGAGUGUAGGCGGUCUGUUAAGCGUGUUGUGAAAUUUAGGUGCUCAACAUUUAACUUGCAGCGCGAACUGGCGGACUUGAGUGCACGCAACGUAUGCGGAAUUCAUGGUGUAGCGGUGAAAUGCUUAGAUAUCAUGACGAACUCCGAUUGCGAAGGCAGCGUACGGGAGUGUUACUGACGCUUAAGCUCGAAGGUGCGGGUAUCGAACAGGAUUAGAUACCCUGGUAGUCCGCACGGUAAACGAUGGAUGCCCGCUGUUAGCGCCUGGCGUUAGCGGCUAAGCGAAAGCAUUAAGCAUCCCACCUGGGGAGUACGCCGGCNCGGU